rnacentral:rRNA from 1 species
AUUGAACGCUGGCGGCAUGCCUUACACAUGCAAGUCGAACGGCAGCACGGGUGCUUGCACCUGGUGGCGAGUGGCGAACGGGUGAGUAAUACAUCGGAACGUACCUUAUCGUGGGGGAUAACGCAGCGAAAGCUGUGCUAAUACCGCAUACGCCCUGAGGGGGAAAGCGGGGGAUCGAAAGACCUCGCGCGAUUAGAGCGGCCGAUGCCUGAUUAGCUUGUUGGUGGGGUAAAAGCCCACCAAGGCGACGAUCAGUAGCUGGUCUGAGAGGAAAAUCAGCCACACUGGGGAUGAGACACGGCCCAGACUCCUACGGGAGGCAGCAGUGGGGAGUGUUGGACAAUGGGGGCAACCCUGAGCCAGCAAUGCCGCGUGAGUGAAGAAGGCCUUCGGGUUGUAAAGCUCUUUUGUCAGGGAAGAAACACCGGCUCUAACACAGUCCGGGAAUGACGGUACCUGAAGGAUAAGCACCGGCUAACUACGUGCCAGCAGCCGCCGUAA